rnacentral:rRNA from 1 species
UACGUAGGGGGCAAGCGUUGUCCGGAUUUAUUGGGCGUAAAGAGCUCGUAGGCGGCUUGUUGCGUCGACUGUGAAAACCCGCGGCUUAACCGCGGGCUUGCAGUUGAUACGGGCAGGCUAGAGUUCGGUAGGGGAGACUGGAAUUCCUGGUGUAGCGGUGAAAUGCGCAGAUAUCAGGAGGAACACCGGUGGCGAAGGCGGGUCUCUGGGCAAUAACUGACGCUGAGGAGCGAAAGCGUGGGGAGCGAACAGG